GUGACAUCUCCUAUUAUUCCACCAGAGUGUAUUAUUGCUACUACUGUCCUCUCACUGUCUUCUCCACUGCUUGGCACCAUACUGGAGGCCUAGCCUCAGGUGCUCAGUGGCAAACCGUGUGAUAAACUGUUCGUUCCCCUAUGUGAAAGGGUUAAUAUCAUGAAAGUGUUCCAUGACAAUAUAACUGCUGGACACCUGGGCAGCAAUAAGUCCACUGCCGCGAUCACUAGAUCAUUUUGGUGGGAUUCACUCAGGAAAGAUGUAAAGGAGUAUGUGCAGGCAUGUUCUUUGUGUGCAGUUUCUAAGGUGACUCAUGCCACUUCCUUGUGGCCUGUUGCAGCCUCUUCCUGUUCCUGAGAUUCCAUGGUCCCACUUAUCCAUGGACUUUAUUGUUGAGCUUCCUAGCUCUGCUGGGUUCACU